GGGCAAAUAGCUCAACGGUUAGAGCAGGGCACUCAUAAUGCCUUGGUUGGGGGUUCGAAUCCCUCUUUGCCCA
rnacentral:tRNA from 1 species